UGAGCGUUCUGUAAGCCUGUGAAGGUGUCUCGAGAGGGAUGCUGGAGGUAUCAGAAGUGCGAAUGCUGACAUGAGUAGCGUUAAAGCGGGUGAAAAGCCCGCUCGCCGUAAGUGCAAGGUUUUCUACGCAACGUUCAUCGGCGUAGAGUGAGUCGGCCCCUAAGGCGAGGCAGAGAUGCGUAGCUGAUGGGAAACAGGUCAAUAUUCCUGUACCGAUGUGUAGUGCGAUGUGGGGACGGAGAAGGUUAGCUCAGCCGGGUGUUGGAUGUCCCGGUUCAAGCCUGUAGUCGUGCCUGGUAGGUAAAUCCGCCGGGCUUAGAUGAGGGGUGAUAACGAGGAGGCUUGCCUCCGAAGUGAGUGAUACCCAGCUUCCAGGAAAAGCCACUAAGCUUCAGCUGCACACGACCGUACCGCAAACCGACACUGGUGCGCGAGAUGAGUAUUCUCAGGCGCUUGAGAGAACUCGGGAGAAGGAACUCGGCAAAUUGACACCGUAACUUCGGAAGAAGGUGUGCCUUUAGUAGGUGAACCCGUACAGGGGGAGCCCAAUGAGGUUGCAAAGAAUCGGUGGCUGCGACUGUUUAAUAAAAACACAGCACUCUGCAAACACGAAAGUGGACGUAUAGGGUGUGACGCCUGCCCGGUGCUGGAAGAUUAAGUGAUGGGGUGCAAGCUCUUGAUCGAAGUCCCAGUAAACGGCGGCCGUAACAAUAACGGUCCUAAGGUAGCGAAAUUCCUUGUCGGGUAAGUUCCGACCUGCACGAAUGGCGUAACGAUGGCCACACUGUCCCCUCCCGAGACUCAGCGAAGUUGAAAUGCUUGUGAUGAUGCAAUCUCCCCGCGGAAAGACGGAAAGACCCCAUGAACCUUUACUGUAGCUUUGUAUUGGACUUUGAACGGAUCUGUGUAGGAUAGGUGGGAGGCUUUGAAGCAGGGUCGCUAGAUCUUGUGGAGCCAACGUUGAAAUACCACCCUGGUGCGUUUGAGGUUCUAACCUAGGCCCGUUAUCCGGGUCGGGGACAGUGCAUGGUAGGCAGUUUGACUGGGGCGGUCUCCUCCCAAAGCGUAACGGAGGAGUUCGAAGGUACGCUAGUUACGGUCGGACAUCGUGACGAUAGUGCAAUGGCAUAAGCGUGCUUAACUGCGAGACUGACAAGUCGUGCAGAUGCGAAAGCAGGACAUAGUGAUCCGGUGGUUCUGUAUGGAAGGGCCAUCGCUCAACGGAUAAAAGGUACUCUGGGGAUAACAGGCUGAUACCGCCCAAGAGUUCAUAUCGACGGCGGUGUUUGGCACCUCGAUGUCGGCUCAUCUCAUCCUGGGGCUGUAGCCGGUCCCAAGGGUAUGGCUGUUCGCCAUUUAAAGAGGUACGUGAGCUGGGUUUAAAACGUCGUGAGACAGUUUGGUCCCUAUCUUCCGUGGGCGCUGCAGAUUUGAGGAAGCCUGCUCCUAGUACGAGAGGACCGGAGUGGACGCACCUCUGGUGUACCUGUUGUCACGCCAGUGGCAUUGCAGGGUAGCUAAGUGCGGAAGAGAUAACCGCUGAAAGCAUCUAAGCGGGAAACUCGUUUCAAGAUGAGAUCUGCCGGGGCCUUGAGCCCCCUGAAGAGUCGUUCUAGACCAGGACGUUGAUAGGCUGGGUGUGGAAGCGCAGUAAUGCGUUAAGCUAACCAGUACUAAUUGCUCGUGCGGCUUGACCCC
rnacentral:rRNA from 1 species